UACGUAGGGGGCAAGCGUUGUCCGGAUUUAUUGGGCGUAAAGAGCGUGUAGGCGGUUUGGUAGGUCCGCUGUGAAAACUCGAGCUCAACCUCGAGACGCCGGUGGAAACCAUCAGACUAGAGUCCGGAAGAGGAGAGUGGAAUUCCUGGUGUAGCGGUGAAAUGCGCAGAUAUCAGGAAGAACACCCGUGGCUAAGGCGGCUCUCUAGUACGGUACUGACGCUGAGACGCGAAAGCGUGGGGGAGCGAACAGG
rnacentral:rRNA from 1 species